rnacentral:rRNA from 1 species
CAGUAGCCGCGGUAACACGUAGGGUGCGAGCGUUAAUCGGAAUUACUGGGCGUAAAGCGGGCGCAGACGGUUACUUAAGCAGGAUGUGAAAUCCCCGGGCUCAACCUGGGAACUGCGUUCUGAACUGGGUGACUAGAGUGUGUCAGAGGGAGGUAGAAUUCCACGUGUAGCAGUGAAAUGCGUAGAGAUGUGGAGGAAUACCGAUGGCGAAGGCAGCCUCCUGGGAUAACACUGACGUUCAUGCCCGAAAGCGUGGGUAGCAAACAGGAUUAGAUACCCCUGUAGUCCCUGUCUCUUAUAC